rnacentral:rRNA from 1 species
CCUACGGGGGGCAGCAGUGGGGAAUAUUGGACAAUGGGGGCAACCCUGAUCCAGCCAUGCCGCGUGUGUGAAGAAGGCCCUCGGGUUGUAAAGCACUUUCAGUGAGGAAGAACGCCUGGUGGUUAAUACCCAUCAGGAAAGACAUCACUCACAGAAGAAGCACCGGCUAACUCCGUGCCAGCAGCCGCGGUAAUACGGAGGGUGCGAGCGUUAAUCGGAAUUACUGGGCGUAAAGCGCGCGUAGGUGGCUUGAUAAGCCGGUUGUGAAAGCCCCGGGCUCAACCUGGGAACGGCAUCCGGAACUGUCAAGCUAGAGUGCAGGAGAGGAAGGUAGAAUUCCCGGUGUAGCGCUGAAAUGCGUAGAGAUCGGGAGGAAUACCAGUGGCGAAGGCGGCCUUCUGGACUGACACUGACACUGAGGUGCGAAAGCGUGGGUAGCAAACAGGAUUAGAUACCCUUGUAGUC